rnacentral:rRNA from 1 species
CCUACGGGUGGCAGCAGUGGGGAAUAUUGCACAAUGGGGGAAACCCUGAUGCAGCGACGCCGCGUGAGUGAAGAAGUAUUUCGGUAUGUAAAGCUCUAUCAGCAGGGAAGAAAAUGACGGUACCUGACUAAGAAGCCCCGGCUAACUACGUGCCAGCAGCCGCGGUAAUACGGAGGAGGCGAGCGUUAUCCGGAUUUACUGGGUGUAAAGGGUGCGUAGGCGGACUGUAAAGUCAGGGGUAAAAGCCCGGGGCUCAACCCCGGCCCGCCGUUGAAACUGGCAGGCUCGAGUUGGAGAGAGGUAUGCGGAAUGCGCGGUGUAGCGGUGAAAUGCAUAGAUAUCGCGCAGAACUCCGAUUGCGAAGGCAGCAUGCUGGCUCCACACUGACGCUGAGGCACGAAAGCGUGGGUAUCGAACAGGAUUAGAUACCCGUGUAGUC